AGUGGGAUAGCUGAGUCAAAUGAUGAUUCCAUUCCAGAUUUUUAAAAAAUCUCCAUACUAUUUUCCAGAUUGGUUGCACCAAUUUGCAGUGUCACCAGCAAU
rnacentral:pre_miRNA from 1 species